rnacentral:lncRNA from 1 species
AAUAUGAUUAUUUCAUUCCUCUUAGACUAGAUUUAUAGCUUGCAUAGGGUGCUCAAAUAUUUGAUUGUGGUAAAAUAUGUAUAGGCCAUUUUUGGUAAGAAAUGAAACCCAUUGAAACUAAAUUGCAUUUGAGCUCUUCAAACCAUCAACAAAAAAAUAGCCAAAUAGUAAGGCUCAAUCAAUAUAUUGAAGCUUACUUAUGAUGCAUAACAUUUGAAAAACCACACCUUUUGACAAAAUGGU